UACGGAGGGUGCAAGCGUUAUCCGGAUUUACUGGGUUUAAAGGGUGCGUAGGUGGGUAGGUAAGUCAGUGGUGAAAUCUCCGAGCUUAACUCGGAAACUGCCAUUGAUACUAUUUAUCUUGAAUAUCCUGGAGGUGAGCGGAAUAUGUCAUGUAGCGGUGAAAUGCUUAGAUAUGACAUAGAGCACCAAUUGCGAAGGCAGCUCACUACGGGGUCAUUGACACUGAGGCACGAAAGCGUGGGGAUCAAACAGG
rnacentral:rRNA from 1 species